rnacentral:rRNA from 1 species
AUCUCGGUGCCAUGAGCGGUGUGGAACCACCUUUUCCCAUUCCGAACAAAGAAGUGAAACGCGCCAGCGCCGAUGGUACUUCGUCCAUGUGGCGGGGGAGAGUAGGUCGGUGCCGAGUUA